CCUACGGGGGGCAGCAGUGAGGAAUAUUGGUCAAUGGACGAGAGUCUGAACCAGCCAAGUAGCGUGAAGGAUGACUGCCCUAUGGGUUGUAAACUUCUUUUAUAUGGGAAUAAAAUGUUCCACGUGUGGGAUUUUGUAUGUACCAUAUGAAUAAGGCUCGGCUAACUCCGUGCCAGCAGCCGCGGUAAUACGGAGGAUCCGAGCGUUAUCCGGAUUUAUUGGGUUUAAAGGGAGCGUAGGUGGAUUGUUAAGUCAGUUGUGAAAGUUUGCGGCUCAACCGUGAAAUUGCAGUUGAAACUGGCAGGCUUGAGUACAGUAGAGGUGGGCGGAAUUCGUGGUGUAGCGGUGAAAUGCUUAGAUAUCACGAAGAACUCCGAUGGCGAAGGCAGCUCACUGGACUGCAACUGACACUGAGGCUCGAAAGUGUGGGUAUCAAACAGGAUUAGAUACCCGGGUAGUC
rnacentral:rRNA from 1 species